GGCUCACAUCUGAUUGUGAUUAACCAACAAAUAAAGCUUCACAAUAUUCUCAACCUAAAAGACUAGCUCGAGUACGUAUGUAGCACCAUCCCCUCAGUUAUCCAUGCCACAACACCGAAAUCCUCUUCUUUGGUCCUUCACUGACCCCACAGAGUGCAAUCAACAGCUCUCUCGGCCCUUUGUCGAGCACUAGAGCAGCAUUGAUCUGGGCGAGGAUGCAUGCCAGAGAGAAGGCAGAUGAGACACUCCCCUACUUUGAGCCAUCGCUACUAACAGAUCUGCAAAUGUAUGUAUAUAUCAAUAGUGCAAGAACCUCCUGGCGGAGUGGAAGUGAAGGAAGAAGCCUGGGUAUGUUGCUUGUUCCAAACAUCAGCAAGGUAUCUCAAAUCACUAAUUCGCAUGGCCCUGCAUUACUAUUUCUUGCACAAGCAUCGAUCUCUAAAGAAGAGAAUAACAUAUAUCUCGAAUUCUUGAUAAUUUGGUUGUCGAUUGAUGGAUUUUAGGCCGAUUGCAAACUGAUUCUCAGGAGAGCGGCGGACUAGAUUGCUGGUCUGCGGAACAAGGUGACCAAGCACUGCAGGAUGAUCUGCAGUAAUCCCACCUUCUGGCGAGCCUGCACUCUAGUGAUGAUGUGGUUUCAGUCCCCUCGAAAUGAUCAGAGAUAACCCCAGGAAUUUUCUUUAAUGAUUUUCGGUG
rnacentral:lncRNA from 1 species